CGUAGGUGGCAAGCGUUAUCCGGAUUUAUUGGGCGUAAAGCGAGCGCAGGCGGUUUUUUAAGUCUGAUGUGAAAGCCCUUGGCUCAACCAAGGAAGUGCAUCGGAAACUGGAAAACUUGAGUGCAGAAGAGGACAGUGGAACUCCAUGUGUAGCGGUGAAAUGCGUAGAUAUAUGGAAGAACACCAGUGGCGAAGGCGGCUGCCUGGUCUGUAACUGACGCUGAGGCUCGAAAGCAUGGGUAGCGAACAGGAUU
rnacentral:rRNA from 1 species